UACGUAGGGGGCAAGCGUUGUCCGGAAUCAUUGGGCGUAAAGAGCGCGUAGGCGGCCCUGUAAGUCCGCUGUGAAAGUCAAGGGCUCAACCCUUGGAUGCCGGUGGAUACUGCAGGGCUAGAGUCCGGAAGAGGCGAGUGGAAUUCCUGGUGUAGCGGUGAAAUCCGUAGAUAUUAGGAGGAACACCGAUGGCGUAGGCAGAUAACUGGCUCGUUCCUGACACUAAGGCACGAAAGCGUGGGUAGCAAACGGG
rnacentral:rRNA from 1 species